rnacentral:lncRNA from 1 species
AUGCCUGACCCUGAUUCCUGCUGCCGAGGGCUUCCGUCGCUCCCCCAGAAUUACAGGAUUCCUACAGCAACGUCUACCUAUCCAAGACCUUCUUCGAGCAGAUCCCUCCUUUCAGAAGUUCACCUACUCCCCAGUUGGUUCCCAGCGGCUGGACAGACGGGCUCCCUGGGGAUGCACCCAGCGGGAUCAAGGAACGGGGAACCGGGCUUUAUGUGGGGUGUCAAUCUCCAGCCUCAGCCCAGUUUAGCCUUGUGCGAGUGUGGAAGAGAGCGAGGGCUGCGUGCGGGACCCAGAAGUUUCAUGCGACUCCCAAACGCUAAGCAAAAUGGAGCCCAGGGUUUGUUACCUGAGGAAAUCUCGGGUUCUUAACAGAGGGGAUAGAGGGGGAAAAAAACCCAGCAGUGAAAUAUUCAUAACUCGUUUAAAAUAGCCAAGCCUUCCAGGUAGCCCACUCCAAUAGAUAUGUGGAUUCUGUUGACAGAAUUGAAGAUUUGAACCAUUGAUCACCCAAAUGUACUAAAUCCCUUAAAGUCCGACUGGCAGAAUUGGAAAGACUUCGUCAGUAGACCCCGGCCCAUUUGACAGUGGAAAAGUUAAGAAAAUAUCAAUAUUUAAUUUUGGUGUUUUGGAGUGUUUACCCUUAUUUCUACCCCCACAGUCUUGCUUUAAAAAUGAGGGUUAAUGUUUGACGAGCCUGAAAAUCUCAUUGUUAGCAGUCCUUCCAAUAGUAACGCAGAGCAGAACUUCUGAACUGGAAGGCCCAGGGCAGGAUGGGGCUGGGCAGGAUGGGGUGGGACUAAGGGGGCUGGCCUGAUUCAGGGGACCCUCAAUCAAUCAGUCAAAUCAAUGGCAUUUAUUAAAUGCUUAGUAUGUGCAGAGCACUGUACUAAGCACUUGGGGGUAAUAUUAAAUAAACGGUUGAUAGACAGGUUCCCUGACCUCAGUGAGUUUACAUUAAUAGAAAUAGUUCACAUUAAUAGAAAUAAAUAUACUAUGGAUAUGUACAUAAUACUAAUAAUAAUGAUAUCUGUUAAGUGCUUAAUAUGUGCUAAGUACUGUUCUUACCUCUGGGGUAGAUACAAGGGUGAUCAGGUUAUCCCACAUGGGGUUCACAGUCUUAAUCUCCAUUUUACUGAUGAGGUAUCUGAGGCAUAGAGAAGUGAAGUGAUUUGCCCAAAGUCACACAGCUGAUGAGAGAUGGAGACGGGGCUGAGGGAGGAGUGAAUAAAAGGUGCAAAUCCAAGUGGAAGGGUGACACAGAAGGGAGUGGGAGAAGAAGAAAUGAGGGCGUAGGCAGGGAAGGCCUUUUGGAGAAUAAAUGCUUUAAAUGAGGUUUUGAAGGUGGGGAGAGUGAUCAUCUACUGGAUGUAAAGAGGGAGGGCGUUCCAGGCCAGAGGCAGGACAUGGGUGGGGUUGGCAGUGAGAUAGAGGAGAUGGAGGUACAGUGAGUAGGUUGGCAUUGGAGGAGCAAAGUGUGUGGGCUGGGUUGUGGUAGGAGAAUGUGAGUGGCUGUGGAGUCUCCUAAAGGAUUCAACUGGCACAGAGAUGUUGGUUGCAGAAUGGCUGUGCUCGGCCCUCAGAAACACCCCCGCUCUCAGGCCCCGCCCGGACAGUUGGACCAACAGUAAACGGGGACUCUUCCGGGGCUAGCUCAGGGCCUCCAAAAGCCCUGUUAGAAGCUGGUAGCCUCCGGGCCACUGAGCAGAAAGACCCUCCCGGUGACCCUCAUUCUGCAACAAGCCCUUUCCCUUGGCUCCCUGCCCCACUCUAGCCAGGGACUGGGACCUCAGGGACCAGGGUCACCCUGGUGACACGAGUGCCACCAAGAUGGCCAUGAGCCUCACCCCUACCCAGAUCCUCCCUGGUUUCAAAAAAAACAAAAAAAGGUAUGUGUUAAGUGCCUACUAUGUGCCAGGCACUGUACUAAGUGUGGGACAGAUACAAGCUACUCAGGUUGGACACCUUCCCCAAUUCCUCUAGACUAAUCCCCAAUUCCUCUAGACUGUAAACUCUUCGUGGGCAGGGAAUGUGUCCGGGAUUUUUAUCUCGUAUUCUCCCAACUGCUUAGUACAGUGCACUGCACACAGUAAGAGCUCAAUAAACGACUGACAAUCAAUGAAUUUCACAGAUGAGAUAACUGAGGCACAGAGAAGUGAAAUGACUUGCUCGAGGAUACCCAGCAGACAAGUGGCAGAGCCAGGAUUAGAAUCCAGGUCCUCUGACUCCCAGGCACAUGCUCUUUCCACGAAGCCAUGCUGCUUUUCUCCCCCUCUCUAGAGGCCUUCCGUGCUGGUAGCCCAGGAGCUAAGAAGCCUGAAAGCACCUGUCUCAGUGAAGGACGGGCUGGGAGGGAAAGGGAACGGGCAGACAGAGAUUAGGGGAGGCCCCAAUUCCACUUCUUCCUCACUCUCUGCAGCUGCCUGGUGUGAGUUUUCCUUCUCUCUCUGGGCCCCCUGGCUCAGUUGAUCUGAGGGAGGUGCUGAGGGACAGACAGGAGCCACAAGGUGGGAAAGACAACGGAACAGGAGACGCAGCAUUGCUUAGUGGAAAGAGCAUUGGCCUGGGAGUCAGUUGACCUGUGUUCUAAACCCUUCUCUACCAGCUGCUUGCUGUGGGACCUUGGACAAGUCACUUAACUUUUCUGUGCCUCAGUUAUCUAAGCGCCUACUUAGACCGUGAGCCCCAUGCGGGACAAAGACUGAGUCCAAUCUAAUUAACUCAUAUCUACCCCAGCGCUUAGAACAGUGUCUGACACAUAGUCAGUGCUUAGCAAAUACCAUAAAAAAGGAGCCAAAAGAGCCUCGUUCACCCCCACACUCGUGGACAAUGAGAAAAGACUGCAGGGACCACGGGGAGCCUGGCGGGAGUGAGACAGGAGCCUGAUGGUGUGGGAGGCCCAGUGGGCAGGUGGGCAGGCUGGUGAACAGCCCCUGGUCUGAAUAUUUUUGUGGAGGAUUGACCAUUUUGGACAGCGUGGCUGCUGGAGGGUCAGUUGGUCAGUUAGAAUCCCCUGUAGGCAGAGGGAGAGUUGGCCGAUAAAAGGACACAUGGCUUCCACAUGGGCUUCCGUGUCAUGGAGAUUCAUGUCGCCCACACUGCCCUUGGGCUUCCACGCUGUUUCUGUUUGGAAACAACACUAAAGACCUGCAAGGAGAUGUGUACAAGUCCCUUUCUCUCCGGAGCUUCGUAUCUUUACUUGUGUUUUCAUCUCUCAUGUCCUCUGUCUCGCUCUGUUGGUCUUUCUCUGUUCUGACCCUGCUUCCUGACUCUUCCAUUCAUUCACUCAUUCAAUAGUAUUUAUUGAGCGCUUACUCUGUGCAGAGCACUGUACUCUUCCACUUGUCACUCCCCAGACCCUCGUCCACUCUGGCACUGCCAGUCAGCCCAGCCUCCUGUUCUGAGCACACUGCUUGUCUCCACCUUCUUAAUGAAUAAUAAUAAUAAUAAUCGUGAUAUUGGUUAAGCGCUUGUUAUGCGCCAAGUACUGUGUUAAGUGCUGGAGUACAUACAGUAUAAUUAGAUUGGACAUAGGUCCCAUCCCACACGGGGUCCAUGGUCCAAGGAAAUAUUGGAUAAUCUGCUUGCUUUGGGAAUAUUCAUUUCCCUGUCUGGGACUGGGCCUUGCCCCUGCCCGACUAUCAGUUUGCUCUCCCGUUGGCUGUGCCCAGAGAGAAACGCAUCUUACCCAACCUGACUAAAUGCUGCUAGAGUGGGACUCCCUUCAGUCUCUUUCAUAAUAAGAAUAAUAGUAAUUAUGGUACUCCUAAAGCACUUACUUCAUGGAUACACUACCAACACGAUUGCAGAUGGAGAAUGGGGCAUUCUUGGAGAGUCACUACGGGUCGGAAACGACUCGACAGGUUAAGACAAGAUGAGCCAAGCACUGUUCUAAGUGCUGGGGUAGAUACAGGUUAAUCAGGUUGGACACAGUCCCCGUCCUGCAUGGGGCUCACACUCUUAAUCUCCGUUUCACCAAAGGGGGAACAGAGGCCCAGAGAAGUGUAGUGACUUACCCAAGGUCACAUAGCAGACAUGUAGCGGAGCCUGGAUUAGAACCCAGGUCCUUCUGACUCCCAAGCCGGUGCUCAAGCCAUGAAGCCAAAAGUCUCCCAAUCCAGUCCCCUGAUGCAGUUUUGGGAAAUCUGAAUUCCCGAGGUUGUAAAUGCCGCGACAGCGGGAGCCACGGUCUGUUUUCCUGGGGUCUCUCUUCCCCUGCCGCCUCUUUCCAAGUGGUGGCCGAACGGAUCUCUUGCAAUGAGCCCGUGGCCAGGAGCAGUUUGCAGCUCUCCAGGUAGAGGAGCCUGUAAAAGCCAAGCCGUCAGCCCAGGGGAAAAGCAGAGCAGUCUUGGGAGGAGCCUGGGGGCCCUGUUUCUUACUCCCCUGACAGAGGAGUGAGUCAAUCAUAUUUACUGAGCAAUUUCUGUGUGCAGAGCACCGGACUAAGAGCUUGGGAGAGUACAGUAUAAGCAAGUAACAGACACAUUCCCUGCCCAUAAAGAGCUUACGGUCUAUAGGGGAAGACAGACAUUAAUCCAAAUAAAUAAAAUUACAGAUACGUACAUAAGUGCUGUGGGGCUGGGAAGGGAGAUGAAUAAAAAGAGCGAGUCAGGGUGAUUCAGAAAGGAGUGGGAGAAGGGGAAAAGAGGGCUUAGUCUGGGAAGGCCUCUUGGAGGAGAGGAGUUGUGCCUUCAAUAAAUCUUUGAAGUUGGGGAGAGUCAUUGUCUGUUGGAUAUACAUUCAUUCAUUCAAUCGUAUUUAUUGAGCGCUUACUGUGCGCAGAGCACUGUACUAAGCGCUUGGAAAGUGCAAUUUUGGCAACAGAUAGAGACAAUCCCUACCCAACAAAGGGCUCACAGACUAGAAGAUACGAAGAAGGAAGGAAGAGAGUGAGGAGUGCUCGGCUCAGUGGACCCCAGGGCCAGCAGCAGAGCCUGGAGUGGGUGGGGAGGGAGGAGAGGAGGAAGGGAAUCGCUGAGGGUCUCCUCUCGGCCUCUCCCAGUCCCAGGAUGGGUCUCAUCCUUGCCUCGCCCCGGCCCGGCUGUCCCAGGAGAGGGUGGAAUGGAUAGACUGGAAAAUUGGAGUUCCUGGCCCGACCAGCCAGG